AAAAUAAAAUUGGGAUAAAAAAUAACCUGAAAAUCAGGAAACAGGAGAAACAGUCUAAACAUUUAUUUUGUGAUCUUGCCUAAUUAUUUUUCUUAUAGUCAAUAAGGAAUAAUUUAAAAUGACCUUAUUCCUGAGUACCUGGAGACUUCUAAGAAGUUUUGAAAAAUAAUUUUAUGUUGAAGAAUCAUACCACAAAAUACUUCCAAGAUAUAUAUGUGUUGCCAUCCUAGUUACUAUAAACCAGAGAAAAAUGUUCUAAUUGCUCUUUUUAAUGAAUAUGUACAAAAAUGCUUCAUUAUAAAUCUAGAAUAUAGGAAUAUGUUCAAUAAUUGAUUUUUGCAAAAAGUCUGUUUUUUUUUUUCUCUAAAGCAGGGAGAGAACUGUAGCUUCAUGAUCUGAGAUAUCAGGCAAGGAAGUCCUCCCCUAUUCUUUCUUAAGGGAUAAGCUCUUUAUAUUCCUCUCUCCAGUCCCUCAGAGACAGCAUCACAUAACUCCCCUAUGCUCUGUGCUCUGUUGGCUCCAUCCUCGGGGACAAGUGCUAUUUCACAUCUUACUCUUAAAUCACUUCUGAGAAACAGACAUAGCUUCCACCAAAGAGGAGCCCUCCCAACAGACCUCUAAUAACACCAAAGGGUUUCCAUGUGUGUGCCCUUAAGCGAACAUACACAAAUGAAAUGAAUCUAUAGAUUGAUAAUGAAGCCAGUUUUUAUAAGUGACACAUGAAUAUCAGUCGAUUAGACACACUCCUGCCGAGUACUGUAACAAAUCUCUUCAUUUUUACCACAUACAUGAAUAGCUGUCCCAUAUAUUCAUAAAACAUAAGAAUUUUUUUCUUGAUUAAUAAACUUCAUUUUUUAGAGUAGUUUUAGGCUCACAGCAAAAUUGAGUGGAAAGUAGAAGAGUUCCCAUAGACUCCCUACUCCCAUACACACACAGCUUCCCCCACUGUCAACAUCCUGCACCAGAAUGAUGCAUUUGCUAUAAUCGAUGAACCUACACUGACACAUCACUAUCACCCAGAGUCCACAGUUUACAUUAGGGUUCGAUAAAAUAAUUUUUUACAACUUAAAUCCCCCAAUAAACUUAACAUUACUUCUCUGGGCCAUACAUUUUUCUGCAUCAGUAAAAUGGGAUAAGAAUAUUUAUUUGGAGCUGGGAGUGGUGGUGCAUGCCUGUAGUCUCAGCUUCUUGGGAGGCUGAGGUGGGAGGAUUGCUUAAGCCCAGGAGUUUGACGCUGCAGUGAACCAUGAUUGCAUCACUGCACUAAAGCCUGGGCAGCAGAGUGAGACCCUGUCUCAAAACAAAACAAAAUAAAACAAAGACAACAAAAAGGUAAUAUUUGGAAAGUUUUGUGAGUAUUAUUGGGAUACAUUAUGAAAAGUGCUAGCACAUUAUAAGUAUUCAGUUACGGUUAUUUAAGUUUAUCAUUAAGAUCGUUAUAACCUGUAGGAACUGACACUGCUACCCCAAUCCUGUCUUUGAAGGAGCAAACCCAUAUGGGAGUAAAAAUGACUGGCUCCCCUCCCUGCCUUGACCUGUCAUUUGAGUCUACCUAAUUAUAAAACAAACAGGGUUUUAAGUUUUGAACCUAUUCCCUGUCAUGGUGGGUAGAAAAUCAAUCACUACACCUGUAUUUAUAAAACAAUCAGAACAGAGGAAAAGACACAAUUUUGAAUUCCAGCCACACAUUAAAACAACCCAUAUUUAUAAAACAAUCAGAACAGAGGAAAAGACAUGAUUUUGAAUUCCAGCCAUGCAUUAAUUGUGUGCAUUUAGGCACAUCACUUAAGCCUGUUAAAAUUCAUUUUAUCCACCGAAAGCACUUUAUAUACUUAAACGAACUAUGCUCAUUUACAGGGUUCUGUGCAUGAUCCUGCAUCCGUAAAACUGAGAAACCAACAGAAUGAGGACAGAAUGAAAAAAGAAAAAAACUUUCAGAAUGUUCUUCCUUUCCUCAAUGCCAUACAGUUUGUGCAGUCAGCUGAUUGGCUGAAAAGAGUCAGUUUUGACGACUGAUGCUUCCUGCUCAUGUUUAGUUGGUUUAGGAAGCUCAUUAGGAUGCUAUCUCGGAGAUGAGUCUGGUGGGUAGAAUAUCUGAUGACUCUAAGGCAAAUGUACUUCCUUCAGCUGGUGAAUUAAUUUCUCAAUAGACUCAAUUUGCUUUUUACUGUCUGGCAAUAUCCCAUAUUUGCAAUGGCCUUUCAAACACUUGCAAUAAAAUGUGGCUCACACAUACAACCUGUUAGCGGUGAAAGAGAAACAUUCAUCACAUUCAAAAUUCUCCAAACAUGAGAGCAGCUGAAUGUGCUUUAAGACAGUAUACCUAAUGAUACAUCUCUAUUUUCCCCUUCCUCUUACAAUCAUUUACACAGAUAUAUGAGAGGUAAAUAUGUGUUUAGAAAGUAUUAGUCAUCAUAGAUGUACCUCCAGUCAUCCAUUCAAAUGUAAACAUGGUAAAAUAUGCACUUGUACAAUUUUAUACUAUCAAUGAGUAUAGGUAGGUGAAAAUUAGUGUUGCCAGAAAAAAUUCAAACCAGAAAACUGAAAGUAUAGAAAAAUACUUUUUAUUUUGUCAUUGAAAAACCAUUUUAAAAUAAUAUAUCGUGUAGAAUAAAAAAUUCCAUGAAUAUAUACAUGUAAAUUAUACAUAUAUGUGAAUUUAAUUUUGUUAAAAGGUAAUUGGCAUCUGCAAUUUCAUGCAGUCUAAGUGAAACCCAUAAAGAAAUGUGUAUGAAAUAGGAAAGCAACAAAAGCUCAUAACAUUUUAAAAUUAGAAAUCAGAUUCAAAACCCAUCAUGAUCUAUUUUAAAUUUAUCUCUAUAACAUUUCAAUUGAGACAUAAAACACACUUUAUACAACAUGCCUCACUAUUUUAUUAACAGCAUGACUUCCCUUUCCCCAAUCCCCAAACCAUGUUCCCAUCUACACCCCACCCCACCCAAAUCUCACCUCUUCCAUUAGCAUUAUUACAAACAUAUUUUACAAAUCUUAUACCAAGCUUUUCCACUGUCUCUUUUCAAUGUAGAAAUAUCUUAUAUAUAAACCCAAAUACCACAAAUCUUCACAUUUAUAUUUUCUAAAGCAGUUAAACCUUUAUAGACAAUUCUACCUAAAAAGCCAAAUGUGCUUGACAAUAUGUCAUGUUAUGUUAAGUUGACCAGACACAGAAGUCAUUUCUGUCGGAUUUCUUGUCGAUGUUUGCAUUAAGUUGGAGCUUUCUGAUCUCGGCUCUUCUUGUGCCAGUAAUUUGAAAGGUCACCUCUCUGUUGGCCUUUGGUUUAUGCAAUGCAGUCUGGCAUUGCAUAAUUAAAAGUCUCGGCCGGGCACGGUGGCUCACGCCUGUAAUCCCAGCACUUUCGGAGGCCGAGGCGGGCGGAUCCCAAGGUCAGGAGAUCCAGACCAUCCUGGCUAACACGGUGAAACCCAGUCUGCACUAAAAAUACAAAAAAAUUAGCUGGAUGUGGUGGUGGGCGCCAGUAGUUCCAGCUACUCGCGAGGCAGAGGCAGGAGAAUGGCGUGAACCCGGGAGGGGGAGCUUGCGGUGAGCCAAGAUCGCGCCAUUGCACUCCAGCCUGGGCUACAGAGUGAGACUCCGUCUCAAAAAAAAGAAAGAAAAAAAAAGUCUUGUGAAUUUGUACAUAGAAUAUUGAAGUUAGAAGAGGCUUAUCACUCUCUGGGCUCUAAUACUGCCCAGAGGUUAUUUGUUUCUUGUUUCCAUAAGAAAAUCCUAUGUCUCUCCAUUAGCAUUCCUGAUCCUUACCUCCAAUUCAAAAUGUGGCCAGUUCCACCUUCUAAGCCUUUAUACCAAAUUGACUGGGUAGGUUUAUUAUGAAUCUGUGUUCUUGUCCAAACUCUACAUUAGACCUCGCAGGAGAGUUCAAACUAAAAACUAAUGAGUAAGUGCAAUAUUACAAUUGAAACGGGAGCAAACAUAAUUUCAAGUAGGACACAUAAAAACUGUGGGACCAAAAGAGGAAGAGUGCACGCCAAAUGUUCUCAAUUCUGAAAUGGCUCUUGUGAAAUAUCUAUGUGAAAACACUUCAAGGACCUGAAAAAAAAAAAAUGGUGAAAAAGCGAACAACCUUCCUUGCAAAACAACUCCAGAGUUAAUGCCAGAGCUUUCUAUCAAAACAUCCAUGUUAAGUUCGCCGGAAAGAUUCAGAAGAUCAAUGACAGGAGUAAGGGAAAAAACAAGGACAUUUUGUGAGUAGGAACGUAUAAUGACCCUGCAGCAGGAGAACGAGAGAGGGGGAAGAAGGAAAUGGAGGGUAAUAAAUCUCUGGAAGAGAAAAGAAAAGAAAGCCGCUCUGAGCGUACCUACCUUUCUACUCUGGAGAG
rnacentral:lncRNA from 1 species